rnacentral:rRNA from 1 species
GAUGAACGCUGACAGAAUGCUUAACACAUGCAAGUCGAUGGGGAAGUGGUGCUUGCACCAUGGUAACCAUGGCGGACGGGUGAGUAACGCGUAAGGAACUUACCUGCGGGACCGGGAUAACAGCAGGAAACUGCUGACAAGACCGGAUAAGGUCAUUAAGCUGCAUAGCUAAGGAGGAAAAGGGGACGCCUGCGGCGAGCUUUGCGUCCUCUUAGCUAGUUGGAGGGGUAACGGCCCACCAAGGCGAAGAUAGGUAGCCGGCCUGAGAGGGUGGACGGCCACAAGGGGACUGAGAUACGGCCCUUACUCCUACGGGAGGCAGCAGUGGGGAAUAUUGGACAAUGGGGGCAACGCUGAUCCAGCAAUUCUGUGUGCACGAAGACGGUUUUCGGAUUGUAAAGUGCUUUCAGCAGGGAAGAAGGAAGUGACGGUACCUGCAGAGGAAGCGACGGCUAAAUACGUG